UAGUCCACGCUGUAAACGAUGAUCACUCGAUAUAGGUUUUUACCUGUGUCUUAGCGAAAGCGUUAAGUGAUCCACCUGGGGAGUACGCUCGCAAGAGUGAAACUUAAAGGAAUUGACGGGGGACCGCACAAGCGGUGGAGCAUGUGGUUUAAUUCGAUGAUACGCGAGGAACCUUACCAGGGCUUAAAUGUAGUCUGACAGCUUUAGAGAUAGAGUUUUCUUCGGACAGAUUACAAGGUGCUGCAUGGUUGUCGUCAGCUCGUGCCGUGAGGUGUCAGGUUAAGUCCUAUAACGAGCGCAACCCCUGUUGUUAGUUGCCAGCGAGUAAUGUCGGGAACUCUAGCAAGACUGCCGGUGCAAACCGCGAGGAAGGUGGGGAUGACGUCGAAAUCAUCACGGCCCUUACGUCCUGGGCCACACACGUGCUACAAUGGUAGGUACAGAGAGCAGCCACUUGGCGACAAGGAGCGAAUCUAUAAAACCUAUCACAGUUCGGAUCGGAGU
rnacentral:rRNA from 1 species